rnacentral:rRNA from 1 species
CCUACGGGGGGCUGCAGUGGGGAAUAUUGGACAAUGGGCGAAAGCCUGAUCCAGCCAUGCCGCGUGUGUGAAGAAGGCCUUCGGGUUGUAAAGCACUUUCAGUGGGGAAGAAAGCCUUGGGGCUAAUACCCUCGAGGAAGGACAUCACCCACAGAAGAAGCACCGGCUAACUCCGUGCCAGCAGCCGCGGUAAUACGGAGGGUGCGAGCGUUAAUCGGAAUUACUGGGCGUAAAGCGCGCGUAGGCGGUCUGAUAAGCCGGUUGUGAAAGCCCCGGGCUCAACCUGGGAACGGCAUCCGGAACUGUCAGGCUAGAGUGCAGGAGAGGAAGGUAGAAUUCCCGGUGUAGCGGUGAAAUGCGUAGAGAUCGGGAGGAAUACCAGUGGCGAAGGCGGCCUUCUGGACUGACACUGACGCUGAGGUGCGAAAGCGUGGGUAGAAAACAGGAUUAGAUACCCCUGUAGUC